rnacentral:lncRNA from 1 species
GUUUUUUAAGGGAAGUCAGUCUCCUGGCUCUGUCUUCAUGGGAUUUCAUGAAACCUGCAGGGAUCAGUGCACGUAGAAGGCACCCUGAGAACACAGCCAGGACAUACCCCAGCAACACAGCUGGUGCAUCCUACAGCCUGCACCUUACUAUUCCUGUUGCUGUCAUCCCUGGGCACAGCUGGGAAGCAGGGAGAGCUGGGACCACAGAUGCACUGGAGGAGAUGCUCGGAGCCCCAGGCAGAAUUCUGGAUCAUGGUUGUUUUCAGCUCUCAGAUAUUUGGUAGAGAUGGAGAAGAUGGCACCUUGUGCAUCUGUGAGAGGCAGGGACCCCGGCCACCAGCCAUGGCCAGAUCCCUGACCUGGGAGCUCUGCACAGGAAAAGGUAAGAAAACAGCCUUUCCAAACGAUGGGUUUCAGGCCAGUGGCACCAUCAUCCUUUCAGAGUCCAACUGCAAGGGCAGAG